CGGACGGCUGAGUAGCGCGUAGGAAUGUGCCCCAAAGUGAGGAAUAACUGCCCGAGAGGGUAGCUAAUGCCGCAUAUGAUCUUCGGAUUAAAGGAUUUAUCCGCUUUGGAAGCAGCCUGCGUACGAUUAGAAUAGUUGGUGAGGUAAUGGCUCACCAAGUCCACGAUCGUUAGCUGGUCUGAGAGGAUGACCAGCCAGACUGGAACUGAGACACGGUCCAGACUCCUACGGGAGGCAGCAGUGAGGAAUCUUCCACAAUGGGCGAAAGCCUGAUGGAGCAACGCCGCGUGCAGGAUGAAGGCCCUCGGGUCGUAAACUGCUUUUAUAAGUGAAGAAUAUGACGGUAACUUAUGAAUAAGCACCGGCUAACUACGUGCCAGCAGCCGCGGUCAUACGUAGGGUGCAAGCAUUAUCCGGAGUGACUGGGCGUAAAGAGUUGCGUAGGUGGUUAGUAAAGUGAAUAGUGAAAUCUGGCGGCUCAACCGUACAGGCUAUUAUUCAAACUCACUAACUCGAGAAUGGUAGAGGUAACUGGAAUUUCUUGUGUAGGAGUGAAAUCCGUAGAUAUAAGAAGGAACACCAAUGGCGUAGGCAGGUUACUGGACCAUUUCUGACACUGAGGCACGAAAGCGUGGGGAGCGAACCGGAUUAGAUACCCGGGUAGUCCACGCCGUAAACGAUGGAUACUAGCUGUUGGAGGUAUCGACCCCUUCAGUAGCGAAGCUAACGCGUUAAGUAUCCCGCCUGUGGAGUACGGUCGCAAGACUAAAACAUAAAGGAAUUGACGGGGAUCAGCACAAGCGGUGGAUCGUGUUCUUUAAUUCGAUGAUAAACGAAGAACCUUACCAGGGCUUGACAUCCAGGGAAGCACUACGAAAGUAGAGUGUGCCUUUUGGAACCCCGUGACAGGUGUUGCAUGGCCGUCGUCAGCUCGUGUCGUGAGAUGUUUGGUUAAGUCCAUCAACGAGCGCAACCCUUGUGAAUAGUUGUAUUUUUCUAUUCAGACUGCUCUAGUAAUAGGGAGGAAGGAGGGGGUGAUGUCAGGUCAGUAUUACCCUUACGUCCUGGGCUAGAAACACGAUACAAUGGCUAGUACAAUGCGCAGCAAAGCCGCGAGGUGGAGCAAAUCGCAUCAAAGCUAGUCCCAGUUCGGAUAAGAGGCUGAAACU
rnacentral:rRNA from 1 species